UUCUGCCACCGAAUACAUUAGCAUGGGAUAAUGGAAUAGGACCCUGUCCUCCUAUUUUCAGUUGGUUUUGGCAGCGCGAGGACUAGGGUAAUGAUUAAUAGGGAUAGUUGGGGGCAUUAAUAUUUAAUUGUCAGAGGUGAAAUUCUUGGAUUUAUGAAAGAUUAACUUCUGCGAAAGCAUCUGCCAAGGAUGUUUUCAUUAAUCAAGAACGAAAGUUAGGGGAUCGAAGACGAUCAGAUACCGUCGUAGUCUUAACCAUAAACGAUGCCGACCAGCGAUUAGGAGACGUUGAAUACAAAACACCACCAUCGGCGCGGUCGUCCUUGGCGUUCGUGUUCACGCACGAGCGCGAGGGCGGCUUAGCCCGAUGGCACCGGUGAAUGACUCCCCUAGCACUUGUGAGA
rnacentral:rRNA from 1 species